GACGAACGCUGGCGGCGUGCUUAACACAUGCAAGUCGAACGGAAAGGCCCUGCUUUUGUGGGGUGCUCGAGUGGCGAACGGGUGAGGAACACGCGAGUAACCUGCCCUUGACUUUGGGAUAACUUCAGGAAACUGGGGCUAAUACCGGAUAGGAGCUCCUGCUGCAUGGUGGGGGUUGGAAAGUUUCGGCGGUUGGGGAUGGACUCGCGGCUUAUCAGCUUGUUGGUGGGGUAGUGGCUUACCAAGGCUUUGACGGGUAGCCGACCUGAGAGGGUGACCGGCCACAUUGGGACUGAGAUACGGCCCAGACUCCUACGGGAGGCAGCAGUGGGGAAUAUUGCACAAUGGGCGGAAGCCUGAUGCAGCAACGCCGCGUGCGGGAUGACGGCCUUCGGGUUGUAAACCGCUUUCGCCUGUGACGAAGCGUGAGUGACGGUAAUGGGUAAAGAAGCACCGGCUAACUACGUG
rnacentral:rRNA from 1 species